GUGGGGAAUCUUAGACAAUGGGCGCAAGCCUGAUCUAGCCAUGCCGCGUGAGCGAUGAAGGCCUUAGGGUUGUAAAGCUCUUUCAGCUGGGAAGAUAAUGACGGUACCAGCAGAAGAAGCCCCGGCUAACUCCGUGCCAGCAGCCGCGGUAAUACGGAGGGGGCUAGCGUUGUUCGGAAUUACUGGGCGUAAAGCGCACGUAGGCGGAUCAGAAAGUCAGAGGUGAAAUCCCAGGGCUCAACCUUGGAACUGCCUUUGAAACUCCUGAUCUUGAGGUCGAGAGAGGUGAGUGGAAUUCCGAGUGUAGAGGUGAAAUUCGUAGAUAUUCGGAGGAACACCAGUGGCGAAGGCGGCUCACUGGCUCGAUACUGACGCUGAGGUGCGAAAGCGUGGGGAGCAAACAGGAUUAGAAACCCGUGUAGUCC
rnacentral:rRNA from 1 species